UUAUCACAUAUAUGGACUGCGUUAACGUUGGCAAAUGCUGAACAACAGCCCGUUCAAGCAGAACAUCUUGCCUUUGCUGUCGUUUUUGGCAAAAAUUUUGACUUUUCUGAGGAGGAGGUGAAAGAAAUGCAGGAAGACUUCCAAAGUUUCAAGACUGCCUUACGUAUGCGCUGGUGAGUCCCCCAAAUGAUUGGUUCAUGGUCUCGUCCGAGGAAGACUUAAUUCAGGCUUGUGGGACGACUUUAGAGAUCUAACGUUUUGAUGAUCGUCUUUGUUGUAAUAUAAUUCACUCUACUUUUGCAUCUUGCUGUGCUUAACUUCUUAUGUCCAAAGGUGAUCCAGAAUGUUGAACCUGCAUGCGGCAGCAUUGCUUUGUGACAUCAAUGUGUAUAUACAUUAGUAUUUAACGGAUGGGCGAAUAGAAUAUUGACAUUACUCUAUGUAAUGCAUUUUUUUUUGUUUCUAUUUAUGCGAAAAUCUAAACUAGCGGAGUAUUUCCUCUGUCUUUUGUAUUUGCUAUAUUUUUAUUCUGGGAAAUCAAAUUAUCAAAUUUGAUCGA